CGCCUCUUGCAACACUAAGUAUAAGAGGUCCUGCCUGCCCAGUGACAUUAGUUUAACGGCCGCGGUAUUAUAACCGUGCGAAGGUAGCGUAAUCACUUGUCUUUUAAAUAAAGACCUGUAUGAAUGGCAAGACGAGAAUUCAACUGUCUCUUAGUUCUAAUCAAUGAAACUAUCCUUCCCGUGCAGAGACGGGAAUAUAAAUAUAAGACGAGAAGACCCUAUGGAGCUUUAAACAUAAACUACCUACUUUUAUUAAACUAAUCAAAAGAUUAAAUAUAUAAUUAUUAGCAUUAGCUUAAGUUUUUGGUUGGGGCGACCACGGAAUAUAAAACAACUUCCGAGAUGAAUUACAUUAGAAUUACAAUUCAAUGAAUAAAAAAUUUAACAUAAUUGACCCAAUUUUUGAUCAACGAACCAAGUUACCCUAGGGAUAACAGCGCAAUCCUUUCUAAGAGUUCCUAUCGACGAAUGGGUUUACGACCUCGAUGUUGGAUCAGGACACCCAAAUGGUGCAGCAGCUAUUAAAGGUUCGUUUGUUCAACGAUUAAAGUCCU
rnacentral:rRNA from 1 species